UUUCCUGAGGUAUAGUGGUUUGUGUUUUGGACUUUGACUCUAGACACCAGGGUUCAAAUCCCUGCUGAACUG